rnacentral:miRNA from 14 species
UAAGGCACGCGGUGAAUGCC